UGGUGAUGAUAAACCGUCAUUUGUUAAGCAGCCUACAGAAAUCAAAUUAACCAAUGAUGAUCAUGAGUUUUUGAUGUGGUUCUACGCUGGUUUGGGACCUGGUUUCUUUGUUGGAUUCAUUGGAGUAUUAUGUACUCUAUUGUUCAAGACAUCUUGGCGCUAUGCAUAUUUCAAAUGUCUGGAGAUCACUUUCAACAAAGUGUUUUGUUGCAUUUCAAUUAAACGGAACAGGCGUUGAUGGCAUUGGGGGUUUCCUUUGCGAUAAACGAACUUGUUGCUUAUGUAUGUACUUCUGGCAAUAUAUGUUGCAGUAGCAAUAUGAUCGAUGCUUUAGUAUGUAUUUUGUAAUAUAAUUUGUUUGCCAUAUAUUGGAUUCUCAAUCUGUUCUCAACAGAUUUGUUGGUUAGUGUUUGUCUUAAACCAUGUCAUUUAUAAUUAUAGUUGAUUUGAUAUCAU